rnacentral:misc_RNA from 1 species
GAUGAAGAACGUAGCGAAAUGCGAUAAGUAAUGUGAAUUGCAGAAUUCAGUGAAUCAUCGAAUCUUUGAACGCACAUUGCGCCCGCCAGUAUUCUGGCGGGCAUGCCUGUUCGAGCGUCAUUUCAACCAUCAAGCCCCCGGCUUGUGUUGGGGACCUGCGGCUGCCGCAGGCCCUGAAAAGCAGUGGCGGGCUCGCUGUCACACCGAGCGUAGUAGCAUACAUCUCGCUCUGGGCGUGCUGCGGGUCCCGGCCGUUAAACCACCUUCAUAACCCAAGGUUGACCUCGGAUCAGGUAGGAAGACCCGCUGAACUUAAGCAUAUCAAUAAGCGGAGGA